UAACCUUAUUUUUGGACAAGUGUAUGAAGAUAUGAUUCCUAAUGUGAAAUCUUGAAGGAGAAAUAGUUGUUUUUGACUAAUCUAAUGUCUUGUAGGAUAUAUGGAUAAAUAAUAGACAAGAAUUACGAAAUUAAGUUAGAAAAUAAUGGUUAACCGUAUGAAUUUGAUACUUUAUAUGCGAAAGUGAAAUAUAUAUUGAAGGGUAAUUCUACCCCAGGAAAUAACAAGGAUAAGGACAAGGAGCAGGAAUAAAGGUAUUCGUGUGUCAAGGGCGUUUUGGAUUUCGAGAUUAACUCUUUCGAUGUAUAGCUGCUCAAGUCGGGUCACUAGCCAACCUUUGUGUUUGGAAAAUUCUUUCAGAAAUUCUAGAUGUGGCAUGUAUAGAAAGUGUAAUGUAGUUCGGACGUUUCAUUUACUUCGCUAUCCUGGUUGUAUAAAUAUAUAUAUAUAUAUAGACUUUCGAAACAGGUUAAUGGUCUAAUUUCAGACGAUAUAUAGCAGUUUUUCCGUUUGCCAAGUAAAGGAAAAUAAUAUCUCUCUGUAUAAAAAAAAAGAAUCAAGGAUUUUCUGUUAAGUCGGGAUUGGUACUGAAAUGUGACAUCACUUAUUUGAUUAUUAAAUUAAUCGGGUAAGGGGUGUUACAUGUUUUGGUAUCAGAGCCUAGGUUUAGACGGUCCUAGGCUUGAGACGUGUUUAGAUGUGUCUAGAAACAUGCCACAUAGGAUUUUGAUUUAAGUCAUUGCUAGUGACCUGAUGUGUACAUGUUUUUCUGGCUUCAAGACUUGACAACUUUUAGUUUCUGAAUGAUACGGAAAACCCUUCUGUAUAAGGUUCGAAAUGGUGAAUUGAGGUUGAGUAGACCGGUGAUCCUAUAGUCAUUUGGUCGGCUAUUGAAAAAAAAAGAAGCUUCCAUCUGUUGCCCUUUAAAUUGGCUCUUCAACUUAUAUUAUAUACGAUGCAGUCGUCGUCGUGUUCUUGCUUUCUGUCUUCCUCAAGUUUGGCUUGCCCUCGCUUUCUGAGUACAACUUUCUCAACAACACCACGAAAAAGUCCACUUUGGUUGCUCACUGAUCUGAUUAUCCAUCAAAACUAGGCUUUUAAGCUCCUUUAACUGAUACGGUGUAGUAAUAUGAAUAUGUCAAAUGAGAGUUAUCCUUCGUGAUCUCUUCCUUUGAGAAUUGUUGUUUGGGACCCUCCAACGUGUUUGCCUUUUUGUUGACCCUAUAAGAUAAUUGAAGGAAGUGAUUUUUCCUGCUAGUACUGUUACCUUGGAGAAUUAUCUUCUUUGAUUAAUUCCUAAUAAUUGCAUCCUUCCGGGUCAUCUAAACAUUAAGUGUUUACUUAUCUACCACCACUGUGUCAUUAUUUUCUAUACCGAGUCUGGAGCCACUUGCAGUUUAUGUGAAACAUGAUUCUUACCCUUGAAACUUGGGAUACUUUUGGUUGAACCUUUUGUCCUUUGUGAUUUAUUGUCUCUAACGACAAUAAUCCUUUACUUGUGUGCUUUUGUCACUAAAUUUUUGUUGUUGAAGUUAUUCAAGCUUAUGUUUUUCAUUUUGACAAAACCUCUUCGAUAGUUAUUUUUAAGAGAUGACACAUUAACCAUAAUAUCUUUGAUUAACCCCUUUGAUAUAAAUUAUUGAUGUUCUUUCCUGCCGAAAUUACACUGAUUCCUUCUCUUAGCCCUAUUGUUUAAAUUGUCUUCUAUCCCGAGACCUUUCUGCAACUUGAGAUUUGAGUUGAUGUUUUACCAUUAUCUCCAAAGACUCUGCUUCAAUCAUCAUCUCUAUGAGUUGUUUUUCUUUGAACUAUCUUCGAAACAUAUGGGCCAGCCACGAUAUGAUUCGUAUGUUCCUAUUGAACCUUAACCAUGAUGUUUGUUAACUUAAGACCAGAUGUGGCUCAGAGAAUAUGCUAAUCAGUCUCUGUUCUAUUGAAAUUUUUACCACUUCAAUCAUGCUUUUUGACUUUCAGAUUAUUGACCAUUCGCUUAUGUCCUACGGAUGCUUAAAUUGUUCUGGGAGGUAAUAAAUAUCUGAAUUAUGGAGCAAAGUUUCCAUGUGACUGAGAAAGUAGUUAAGUGGAACUGGCCACUCCAUGUAACUCGAAUCUCAGUAGCGUCCUUCUUCGACAAACCGAUGGGUUUUAACUUUGAAGUAAUUUCAUUGGACUUAUUGUCAAUUCAUUCUUACCAUCGGUUACCUUUUCCAAGCUUGUUCGGUAAUUAUCUGAUGAAAUCUUUUGGUCAGUCGCUCUGCUACCAUGUAUUAAGGGAUCAUCUAUAUCUUAUCAUUGUUGUUUCCCGUUGAUUUAUUCAUUUCCAAGGAAUUCAUGGAUCGACCUUUCCGAUUGGUGUCUUCACAUCUUGAUCCGAAUUACUUUUUGUGAUAUCAUAUUCGUUGAACAUCUGAAUUGCAAAACCUCUGAAUCUUUACCUCAAUAAAUACCUCUGAACCGUAUCCUUAUGUCUUGUUAGCUAAUAUUUUUCGUAGAUCUGCACCAGAAAGUCAUUCCUUGAUGGAUUUCUUCAUACCUACGUUUGAACCAUAUUGUCUAAGGUCCUCAUAUUUGACUCGCAAAGUGGUAUCAAUCGCCCCCCCCCCCCUUUGAGGAGUGUUUGGUGAGCUUGGUCUCUCUUCAUUGUCUUGUCCUGUUUGCUUUCAAAGCUAACGUGAUGGUUUUCCCCACCUUGUGAUCCCUAUGCGGGCAAUCUGUGUGAGAUCAGUGUGCUACUAGUGAAAGAUUGAUUUUGUCUGCUAGUGAAAGAUUUGAUGUGUUCACUUUAUUAGGUUUGUCUUUGUUGUUCAUUUGGAGGUCGUCAGAAAUCUUUCAUACAUCUGUUCAAGGUUAUCGUUUAAAUAUUUCUGUACAUUUCCAUGGAACGUCCUUACAUUUGUUGUUGUUUGCUUUGGCUCCAACCAUAUCUAUCAGUACUUGGCAGUCUUUGUUUGGUGUCUACAAUGAAUGCUCAACUGGACUCUGUGACAGAGGGAGUAAAGUAGCUGUUAUGCUCCAUUUUGUCUUCUACCUUGUUUUUUAAAUCAUGUCUCAGUCAGGGUAGAUUGAUACUGGCUAAUCCUUUCAAAAGAAUUAAGCUUGUUUGACUUUACAAUUUCAAGCUUGUUAGGUUGUGUCAUCCUUAAAUAAAAUCAUCUCUAGUUCCUAAUGUUCUAUUCUUACCUUAAAGGAGUGGCACAGAAGUGCCUAACUCGACAUAUUGAUUUAGAUGAAAUUUCGAGGACGAAAUUUUUUUUAGGAGGGAAGAGUUGUAAUGACCCGAAAUUUUGUAACUCAGAAAUUAGUUAAAAUUUGUUAGUUUUUUUUAAUACAAUAUUUAAGUUGUGAGUUGUAGGAUUUAAGAAAUUAAAAUAAUUUGAAAAAAAAAGGAAAUAAGAAAAGGAAAAGGAAAAGGAAAAGAAAUUAGAGAUGGAAAAAGCGGAUAAAAAUGCCCCCUUUCUAGAACCUACGGGAGUUCUCUCUCCCUCAAUUUUUCAUCCAAAGUCAGAAACGGUAUCCAUCUCUCUUCUUCCGGCGCAUAUUGCCGCUCCAUCGGCCGCCGGAGCGUCGCCUGCUCCAGUCCUCGUCGUUCCCGGUCGCCGGAGUCUCGGCGGAAGUUCCGCCGUCGCCAUCUGCUGCAGAGAGCAACUCCAAAACGCAGACGGACGCAGCUGCGUUUCCUCCGUCACUGGUGGCCUCCUUCGUCACCUCUCUCUCGGCUGCUACACGGCGGUGCAGCACCACUGCUCCAGCCGGCAGCCUGACGCAGUGGAGCAGCCGCUGCUGUUUCGUGAUCAAUCGCAACUUCCGGGUCUCGUCGGAGCUCGCUCAUCGUCGGGUAGCACUUCAGUGGCCGGCCUAAAUCUAAGUCUUCAAACUCUCGUUAUCUAGUUCAUUCGAUUAGAUGAAACCUAGUGUUUGGAGGACUUCUGUGUAAUUGAUGUUGGGGAUUUGUGAUUUUUGUUAAGUGAGGGUUGUGUAGAACUAUGCGAAAGUUGUUGCUCCAUCAUUUGGGAAUUAAUUAUAAUGAGCUGGACAUGGAAUUUUAAUGAAAUUAAUGGGAUGAUUAGAGUA